AGAGUUUGAUCCUGGCUCAGGAUGAACGCUAGCUACAGGCUUAACACAUGCAAGUCGAGGGGCAUCAGUUUGGUUUGCUUGCAAACCAAAGCUGGCGACCGGCGCACGGGUGAGUAACACGUAUCCAACCUGCCUCAUACUCGGGGAUAGCCUUUCGAAAGAAAGAUUAAUAUCCGAUAGCAUAUAUUUCCCGCAUGGGUUUUAUAUUAAAGAAAUUCGGUAUGAGAUGGGGAUGCGUUCCAUUAGUUUGUUGGGGGGGUAACGGCCCACCAAGACUACGAUGGAUAGGGGUUCUGAGAGGAAGGUCCCCCACAUUGGAACUGAGACACGGUCCAAACUCCUACGGGAGGCAGCAGUGAGGAAUAUUGGUCAAUGGACGAGAGUCUGAACCAGCCAAGUAGCGUGAAGGAUGACUGCCCUAUGGGUUGUAAACUUCUUUUAUAUGGGAAUAAAGUUGUCCACGUGUGGAUUUUUGUAUGUACCAUAUGAAUAAGGAUCGGCUAACUCCGUGCCAGCAGCCGCGGUAAUACGGAGGAUCCGAGCGUUAUCCGGAUUUAUUGGGUUUAAAGGGAGCGUAGGCGGAUUGUUAAGUCAGUUGUGAAAGUUUGCGGCUCAACCGUAAAAUUGCAGUUGAUACUGGCAGUCUUGAGUGCAGUAGAGGUGGGCGGAAUUCGUGGUGUAGCGGUGAAAUGCUUAGAUAUCACGAAGAACUCCGAUUGCGAAGGCAGCUCACUGGAGUGUAACUGACGCUGAUGCUCGAAAGUGUGGGUAUCAAACAGGAUUAGAUACCCUGGUAGUCCACACAGUAAACGAUGAAUACUCGCUGUUUGCGAUAUACAGUAAGCGGCCAAGCGAAAGCAUUAAGUAUUCCACCUGGGGAGUACGCCGGCAACGGUGAAACUCAAAGGAAU
rnacentral:rRNA from 1 species